GAGAAUCUCAAACUCCUGGCACCUGAGAAGAGAAGUAAAAAAUCGUUCACAAAUUAUUGAUACACUAUAAGACCCUGCACGUCUCACCCUGUACAUGGAGACCACGCAAGAUCUGAGCUCAAUGCUAGAUGCUCCCACUUUAAGGACAUGCUCAGGAAGAGGUUUUGUUCCCUAGAGAAUACAUUGAUUACCAGGUGAAGUUGGUUCUACAGCUGGAGAAAGCUGCAGAAAUUUAAUUUGCUGAGUCUCCAUUUAAGGUCCAAUGCGACUGAACAGAAAGGAUAUGAAGAAGAGUGGCCCAGAUUUCUAGGAAAUAAGAAUGAAACCCUUCCAGUACUGUGAUGUCUUUGAGUUGAAUCAAAUCAUAGUUGAGAGGGCUGGAAGAUGAAUGGUGACUCAGCUGAGAAGAGACUGGUGAUCUUUUUAUCAUGAAAAUGAUUGUGGAAAGGGCUUUAGGGGUCCCAACUUUUUAUAUUGACUGUGAAGGACAGUUCGUGCUUGGUUUUCUGCAGCAUAGAGAGCUCGGGACACAGCAGGUGCAAGGAGGUUCCAGGACUGAAAGCUUUGGUGCUUCUCAUGGCUUGGAUAUCUCAGUGCCUUGGGUAAAGAAGAUGAAGGACCCUCCCUCGCUCAGGCUUUAGGAGCAGGAGCAAACUGAUGGCCCUAGUAUAAAAGGCUAGUGAAGUCUGCAGAGUUCCUGAGCGAGAAGGAUCUCUGAAAGCAUCUUGUUUCACAGAAGCUUCUUCUGUUCCUGGAAAGGGCUCUGGGGAAUCCAGGGAUCAGUGGUCCUGAUGAUCCCUGGGAGAAGGAUGCUCUGUUCCGGGAGAGUGUUCUGAGAGACCCUUCUGCAAAGCCGAAGUGCUGCAGAAGCCAUUCUUUCACGAGAGAUGCAGCACACAGUUCAGUCAAGAUUUGGUCUGCAAAAAAGCCUCCAAGGGAAAAUGGGCUCUUCGAAUAUUUGCUUUCACAGCUAGUCAUUUUUUUAUGUUUUAAAAUUCUUUGACAGUUUCAUAUAUGUAUAAUAAAUUUUGAUAAUUUUUAUUGUGCACUACCCUCUCUUAUAUAUUCUUCCCCAUGCUGCUUAAACCCCUUAUCCCCUCAGCAAGUUCCCCUCUUGGUUUGAUGUCUUUUUGUGUGUAUUUGAGCCACUGAGAUUAAUUAUGGAUACACACAUGAGCAUAAAGUAUGGGCAAGUGGCUAUGUGGCUAUUCCACCGAAGAAAAUUCUUCUUCUUCCCCAGUACCCACUAAUCCCUUAAAGAGUGUAACUUCCUGAACCUGUCUAUCAACCAUGGUGAAAUGUUGUAAAUUUCUUCUGUAGAUAACCACAGCUAUAGUGAGUUUAUGAAUGCAAUAGACUAGGCACACCCUGAAGACUGCGUUUUGAAAGAAUCCCUCCCAUUUUCUGGCUCUUACAUUCUUCCUACGACUUCUUCUGUGAUGUUUCCUGAGCCUUGAUGAGUGGCGUGUGGUCAGGGAAGUGAUGUAGAUGUUCAGUUUAGGACUGAGAUCUCAACAGUCACUUAUUCUCAGGAUUUUGACCAUCUGUAAGUCUCUAUAUUCCCUGCCACCCAUGGUAUAAAGCUUUUAUUAUGAAGGCUGAGAACUGAAAUAAUCAGUCUAAAUAUAACUAUUCAGAGGAUAGUUUGACAACAUAUUACUCUAGGCAAAUAACAGUGCAAGAUUUUCAUCUAAAGCUGUGGUUUCCAUAACUCUUUCCAUGGGUGUUUUGUUUCCCCUUCUAAGAAGGAUCGAAGUGUCCACACUUUGGUCUUCCUUCUUCUUGAGUUUCAUGUGUUUUGUGAAUUGUAUCUUGGGUUUUCCAGCUUCUGGGAUAAUAUCCACGUAUCAAUGAGUGCAUAACAUGUGUGUUCUUUUGUGAUUGGGUUAUGUCACUCCGAAUGAUAUCCUCCAGAUCCAUCCAUUUGUCUAAGAAUUUCAUAAAUUUAUUGUUUUUAAUAGCUGCAUAGUACUCCAUUGUGUAAAUGUACCACAUUUUCUGUAUCCAUUCCUCUGUUGAGGGACAUCUGGGUUCUUUCCAGCUUCUAGCUAUUAUAAAUAAGGCUGCUAUGAA
rnacentral:lncRNA from 1 species